rnacentral:lncRNA from 1 species
CUUCAUACAUAAAAAAUCGUCAUUUGAAAGAUGAAAUUAGGUGCCAUGAGAUUGCAAGAAUGCAGGAUUUUGGUCUAUUUAUGCCAGAGCUUCUGGAGGCCUUGAGCGGCCCAGACCAUCUGCCGUAAGGCGCUCUCGGGCACUUUUUAGUAGGAACGAUAAAAGUUUCAUCCUCCAUAAAACUUCAUGUCGAUUGUGUCAACAGC